rnacentral:tRNA from 1 species
GUGAGGGUGGCAGAAUUUAUGUGUUCGUUUUAAGCUCGAAAGAUGAGCCUAGGCUCCCCUUACU